AGAUAAGUUUCUAAUAGUUGCAGGUAGUGUAGUGUAGUGACUUUUUUUCUACAAUUUAAAAAUACCGUUUCGCCCAAGUGAAGGGAAUCUGCAUCAAAUGCGCGCGUUAUGGCGCAGACACGGAAGCUUCGCACAAAUUGCGGAAUAUUUUCAGUGUAGUGAAGUGACAGUGCCUAAGUGGGUGGGGCGUUUUGAGGAAGAGGACGCGAAUAAUCUAGCUCACGACUUGAGAAAAGAUAAUAGUGGAAGAAACUAUAUUCUAAAUAAUGAGGAUUUGCAACAGAUUACAAACGCUAUAACAGCAAAUCCGUUUCAAUCAGUUGCAACUUUGCCUGAGCGUCUAAAUUUGGACGUGAACGGAAAAACUAUUAGGCGAUCUUUAAAAAAAAGGUUGAAUGUCAACUAUUCAAAACCUGCUCGUAGAGCAAAGGUUGGCGAAAAACGAUUUUUUCGUAAGAUUAGCAUAUGCUAAUCAACAUUUACUUCGCACGACUGAAGAGUGGAAACGACCCAUUGCGAUGGACGAAGAGGUUUUCUCAACGUAAAAAGAUGGUAAUGUAUUUUUUUACUUAAUUAUAAACAUUUCAUAAAAAAACUUAUUUAAAAGCUGAAAAAAUCCAUUCUGUCGCUAUUUAUUUCUUUUGGUAAUAUUAUAUGCGUUCAAAUAUAGUAGAUAUAUGUAUUUGAGCACUACCAACCACAGUCAACUAAAUAUGCGUUGUCUGCUACUUUGCUCCCACGCUCCCAGUCGGCUCUUCUGCAGUACGCUGUCAUAACCUCAAUAGUUUCAUUUUGCUAUAAAUAUGGGUGAAUUUCUUUUUUUAAUAUUCAUUCCGUUACUUUAUCAUACGGUAUUAUUUUCUACAAUUCUAACGUUUAAACACGCGUGGUUUAAAGAAAUUAAGAUUGUGUUGAAUUGUUGAAGGACUGAGUAAUAAGAAGUUUAAAUUUUAAAUACAAAUUUUCAAUAAUUAUUUCAACUUUUCAAAAAGUAUAGGAGUUUGGAGAAUAGACGGUACUCGUUUUGACAAAGAUAAUGUUGUUCCUGUAAAAAGAAGUCGACGGAUCACCAAUUCCAAUUAGAGUUAGAUUUCUGGCGAUGGGUCAGCUGCUCUUGAUGCUGUCGACAGAAGAAGAAUUAACUCUCAAAUAUAUGUGCAGUUAUUAGAAGAUAACCUUCUGCCUGGAGUGAAUGCACGUUACCCAGGCAAUGAACCAGUUUACGUCAUUGAGGACAACAGCGCAGUGCAUCGAGCAGGUAUAGUAAAUGACUGGUACCGAGAUUACCCUAGAAUCCGAAGGUUGAAUCCAUGACGUUUACCAAAUCUCAGCUACGUUGAAGAUAUGUAGGCAAGAAUGGUACAAGAUUGGCGACCAGUUUUGGCUGAGAAUGAAGCUGAACUGAUAGCUGCUGUGGAGCAAAGUUGGGCUCAACUGCAAAAUGAUUUGCCAUACUUUGCUAAACUCAGUGAGUCUAUGCCUCGUCGCUUGAGAAGUGCCAUAGAUGCUAAGAGGGCGUACACUAAAUAUUAAUUUAUGUAAGUUCAUUUUUAUAAAUAUAAGUAUAUAAGCAAAUAUAAUGCAAUGGCAUAUAGCUGUUGUGCUAAUGUUUUAUUUCUUACAUAUUUUUUUUUUCUUGUAAAUACGUUGAGGAAUUAUUGAAUUCUCCACAAAGUGCAGAACCAUUCUACACACUGGCCCUGAUCUAGGAGAACGAUCAGCCAGAAAAGUUUCUCCAAUUUGCAUUGAUAGCAGCUUACCUAAGUCCCAGAGACUCGGACCAGUGGGUUCGUCUGUCAAACUCUUCCUUAGAAUCAGGAAACCUGUGACAAUCUCUUACCUGCUACUCCAAGGCCCAUGUGCACAGGUUUCAUCGGUCCAGGAAUGCUCACAGCUGCUGUCCUUGGAUUGAACGGUAGAACGACAUCCAUACCAUUGACUGAUACUAUAGUUAAAGUUGUAAAACAUUGUGUGAAGAAUGAUAAGGAAGCAGGAGUUUUACUUCUUAUACACGAUUGUGCAGAGUACUUUUAAAAAGUUCUGCGAGCAAAAAAGGAAUCAGAGGAAAUAGUCAUCCCUGUUCAAACAAUCUAUGUAAGAUAUGAGAUCAACGGCAACCUUAGUCCCAAGGUAAUAUCUAGCCCAAGAAGUCCUUCAGGGCUACUGUUACUUUACAAAGACGCAGGGAUAAUGUCAGAGGAAGGAAAAAGCUUGAAUCGCCGUCGCCGUCGCCGGACACAAUUAAUAUGAACAGUCUUUUUUAUCGCUGAAAUAUUUCAGUCGCUUUUGAUAAAUAUAAAUGCUUCGUCUUACGUUUUUUCUUCUAUAAGCAUCGCUUGCUCGUUUUACGUCAAAGUAUAUUGGCUGAAAAAGCAAGAUGCAGCGUGCACGAGGAUGAACAAACUCGUCAUGCAUGCAAAUUUAAAAAUAGAAUUUUUUGAGAAUUUUUAAUUAAAUAUCCUUUCUUAUUUUACAAACGAGCAAAAUGGAUUUAAAACACAAA